GACGAACGCUGGCGGCGUGCUUAACACAUGCAAGUCGAACGAUGAAGCCGGAGCUUGCUCUGGUGAAUUAGUGGCGAACGGGUGAGUAACACGUGAGUAACCUGCCCUUGACUCUGGGAUAACUGCGGGAAACUGUAGCUAAUACCGGAUACGACCCUCGGAGGCAUCUCCUGGGGGUGGAAAGAAUUUCGGUCAAGGAUGGACUCGCGGCCUAUCAGCUAGUUGGUGAGGUAAAGGCUCACCAAGGCGACGACGGGUAGCCGGCCUGAGAGGGUGACCGGCCACACUGGGACUGAGACACGGCCCAGACUCCUACGGGAGGCAGCAGUGGGGAAUAUUGCACGAUGGGCGCAAGCCUGAUGCAGCAACGCCGCGUGAGGGAUGACGGCCUUCGGGUUGUAAGCCUCUUUUAGCAGGGAAGAAGCGAAAGUGACGGUACCUGCAGAAAAAGCACCGGCUAACUACGUGCCAGCAGCCGCAGUAA
rnacentral:rRNA from 1 species